rnacentral:lncRNA from 1 species
CUUAUGUCCACUUUCUACCUUGUGUGUAUUUUUUUUUUUUUUAAACAUCCUUAACCACUUGUGUGUCUCUUAAAAGGAUUCUCUAGUACCAGAAAAACAAACCCGUUUUCCUGGAACUGUAGAAUCCUGGAGUGCCCCCCAUCCCAUGUCGCUAAAGUGGUUAAAACUCCUUCAGACACAUACCUGAAUCCAGUGCCAAUGUCCCUCUGUGCUGGGUCAGUCUCCGCCCAUGCUCCUCCCCCGCGGACGUUUGCCCGGCAGGGGAGACCUAAUGGACAAGCGCAGCACAAUGCUUUUCUAUGGGGAUUCCGGCGACGUUGGAGAUCCUCAUGCAUAGCGGAAGGACGUCCAGUGUUGUUUAGACUACCAAAAGUUGUCUAAGCACCUGGAAGUCCCUCUAGUGGCUGUCUGGUAGACAGCCACAAGACGAGUACUUAACUCUGCAAGGUAAUUAUUGCAGUUUAAGGGUGAUGGGAAUUGGCACCCAGACCACUUUGAUGGGCUGAAGUGGUCUGGGUGCCUACAGUAUCUCUUUGAUCAUUCCUAAUCCAUUGUGUUGCUGUUAAACUUUGGUACCUCCUUGUGUAUCUAAACCCUUUUAACACAUUCUUAAAUCCAGUAACCUUUUUGUGUCUCUCAACCACCUUUUAACCCAUUGUUCGUAAACCCCGACGUCACGAACGCACCCUACUCCAAGAGUGUGUGUGAUGUAGUUGUGGUGGUGGAAUUGUUAAUGUUCACUAUUUGUCUGCACUAGACACGGAAAUAAUGAUAAAAUCCCCCUUAACACCACCCACACUUAACCAUGGCCACCACCAAGACAAUUUAUAAAUGGGGUGCCUUGGUCCCCCAGGUAACUUAUUAAUAAAAACUCACCAAAAUACCACUAACACCAAAAACAUAGAACAAUAUUAAAGCAAAUGCAAAACUCUAAUUAGUCUCUUCAGGUAACGUGAUUCUUUACCAGACAAAGGCAGAACUUAAUAAAGGAAUAUUUAUUAUGAGCAAAAAAUAGAUGAUAAAUUAUUUACCCCCACAACAGAUAAAAUAACAGACUUCCUAAUCAUUUAAGUUUUCAAAGUAAAAUUUCUGCCCAGGGGGUCUCUGGCAAGGAAGAUGGUGACUCACUCAAAAUUAGAUUGUGGCCCUAAGCAAGUGCAAUACAUAUUUCAAUAUCAUUUGAUGUAUAUCCUGUGGAUUACCAAGCCUGGCCAAAAGGUGGAGAUAAGGCGUACCUAUAGAGACAAUAAGUGACCACCUCCUUGUGUUCCAGACCAACAUCAAUCCAAAUAGUUACACAACUCAUGUUUAGACUUGAUUAAAAGACUCUGCUUGUCCCAUUCUAAAUAUAAUAAAAAAUGAGGCUUAAUUAUUAAUCUGUGGGUAAGUAUUAAUUUUUCUUUUGGAUAUGAUUCUGGAACACAAGGUUAAUGUCCAUUAACAUAUCAAAGGACCCCCUAUCUAAGAGGGAAUCUAGACAUAUGGCAAAUAAGUUAGCUUAUAUUUAAACCAGACUUCCAGGCCACUUAUGUGUGACUUCUCACACUUUACAGAGUAGUUCUGUUAGGGUCCCAGCAUCAAAGAGGAAUUUAGGUUGUAAACAUUCUGCCCUCCCAUACAAUCAAAUUAACCCCUUUUGGAAUUGACAAUACCACCUCUACCAAGCAGCCAGUUCAUCUAUGCACUACACACAUUACAAUAAAUGACAAUAUUCCAUAGUGCAACAAUGAAUUAUGCACCCUUACCAUGGAACCCGAUACCUCCUUGUGUGUCUAAACCACCUUUUAACAAAUUGUUCUUAAAAAGAAACUAUAGUGCCAGGAAAACAUUGUUUUCCUGGCACUAGAGCUCUCGUCACCCCUUCCUGUGUGGUGCACUUUCCUGAUUCUAGCGCCAAUGCCUCUCAGCGCUGGUUCAGGGUCCUCCACCACCGACUUCAGCCGGCGAGCGGGGGACCUAAUGCAAGUGCCGAUUUCCCCAUCGAAAAGCCCAUGUAUUAUGCUUUCCUAUGGGGUAUUAGGUUACGCUGGAUGCCAUUGUGCGUAACCAAAAGUCACCUAACCACCCGGAAGUCUCUAUAGUGGUUGUCCGGUGGAGUUAACCCUUCAAGGCAAUUAUUGCAGUUUCUCAGGAAUUACAAUAAUGACCUGCUCAGGGUUAAGGGACCUGGGCCACUGCACCUAGACCAUUUCAAUGACCUUAAGUGUUUCCAUUUAAAACCCGGUAACUUUUGUGUGUCUCAACCCUCUUUUAACCUAUUGUUUGUCUCAUAACCUCCUUGAGUCUAUUUUCAUGUCUUUCCUCUUAACCCUUUGUCUCUUAUCUCCCCCACCAGCUUAUACUGUAUUUUUUUUUCUGUUUGGUCCGACCAAUGGAGGAUCCGGGGGGGGCCAAUGGGGCAAUUUGCCCCCCACCUCCCAGGAUUCUCCCCUGCCGGCUAAUGCAGGGCUGGCAUUGUCCAAGUGCCAGCCCUGCAAUGUGCUUGCGGACCAGGGAGGGAGAUCAGAGAUCUCCCUCCCUGUUCUGCAGGCACUGUGUUGACAGCUGGCAGGGGAGGGAGAGGACCCGGGAGCCCAGCCUGCAGCUUCUCCGGGUCCUUCUCUCGCGAGCACGGAGUGUUGCCGCAGUUACUAUGGCAACGCUCCAAAUCUCGCGAGAGUGAACUCUAGCCCUGGAUCUACGGGCUAGAGUUCACUCUAAUCACUGGGAACACCAGGGAUGGAGAAAUGUCCCACCUCCUCCUCAAUAAAGGUAAGAAGGGAU